rnacentral:lncRNA from 1 species
AUUUGCCACCAUUCAUAUUACAGAUAUGGGGGUGUUUAUUGCAAACAAACGAGAGGUUCCGGUUGGCAGCCCUAUGGCUGGCCUCCUUGCGGGGGUCCUCCUCGGAGGGGUGGGGGGGUCUGUGCUCACCUCCCUGUGGCCCGGAUUCGGGCUCUUCUUCUGUUGUAUUGUUGAUAUUAUUGUUGUUUUGCGGGACCGGGUGGUCAUGGAGGACUUGGUGCGGGCCCUCACGCUUCCCACAUGUGGACUGAAAUUAAAACCUGAAUAGCCACAGAGUCCAUUUUCUAGAUAUACACCUGGAAUUGAGAGAAGGCCA